rnacentral:rRNA from 1 species
GAUGAACGCUGGCGGCGUGCCUAAUACAUGCAAGUCGAGCGAACAGACGAGGAGCUUGCUCCUCUGACGUUAGCGGCGGACGGGUGAGUAACACGUGGAUAACCUACCUAUAAGACUGGGAUAACUUCGGGAAACCGGAGCUAAUACCGGAUAAUAUAUUGAACCGCAUGGUUCAAUAGUGAAAGACGGUUUUGCUGUCACUUAUAGAUGGAUCCGCGCCGCAUUAGCUAGUUGGUAAGGUAACGGCUUACCAAGGCAACGAUGCGUAGCCGACCUGAGAGGGUGAUCGGCCACACUGGAACUGAGACACGGUCCAGACUCCUACGGGAGGCAGCAGUAGGGAAUCUGCCGCAAUGGGCGAAAGCUUGACGUAGCAACGCCGCGUGAGUGAUGAAGGUCUUCGGAUCGUAAAACUCUGUUAUUAGGGAAGAACAAAUGUGUAAGUAACUAUGCACGUCUUGACGGUACCUAAUCAGAAAGCCACGGCUAACUACGUG